rnacentral:rRNA from 1 species
CACGUAGUUAGCCGGCGCUUCUUCUGCAGGUACCGUCACCCCAAAGGGCUUCGUCCCCGCUGAAAGAGGUUUACAACCCGAAGGCCGUCAUCCCCCACGCGGCGUCGCUGCGUCAGGCUUCCGCCCAUUGCGCAAUAUUCCCCACUGCUGCCUCCCGUAGGAGUCUGGGCCGUGUCUCAGUCCCAGUGUGACCGGUCGCCCUCUCAGGCCGGUUACCCGUCGUCGCCUUGGUAGGCCGUCACCCCACCAACAAGCUGAUAGGCCGCGAGCCCAUCCCCGACCGAAAAACUUUCCACCACCAACGGAUGCCCGCAAUGGUCGUAUCCGGUAUUAGACCCGGUUUCCCAGGCUUAUCCCAGAGUCAGGGGCAGGUUGCUCACGUGUUACUCACCCGUUCGCCGCUCGAGUACCCCGAAGGGGCCUUCCGCUCGACUUGCAUGUGUUAAGCACGCCGCCAGCGUUCGUCCUGAGCCAGGAUCAAACUCU